UAUCACUAAGCGGCGGAAAAGAAACUAACCAGGAUUCCCCUAGUAACGGCGAGUGAACGGGGAUAAGCCCAGCACCGAAGCCUGUGUCCUGUUGGAUACUAGGCACUGUGGUGUUUAGGUGGUGACAUGUCAGCUUAUCUGCUGCCCCAAGUCCAGUAAUGAAUAUGGCUCUUAUAUUGGCCCAGAGAGGGUGAAAGGCCCGUGGGGGUAGUGGUGGUAGGUUGACUUGUUCCACCUUGGAGUCGGGUUGUUUGUGAAUGCAGCCCAAAGUGGGUGGUAGACUCCAUCUAAGGCUAAAUACUGGCACGAGUCCGAUAGCGAACAAGUACCGUGAGGGAAAGUUGAAAAGUACUCUGAAGAGAGAGUAAACAGUGCGUGAAACCGCUGAGAGGUAAACGGGUGUAGUCAAGCUGCAAGCCCUAGGGAUUCAGCCGAUCAGUGUGGUGUGUGUGCAUGAGCACAUUUUUGGUCUGUCGCGGUCUGCCUAAACUGGUGGGCUUGGCUCCUCGUAGCCGAGUGCUUGGGCGUCAAAUGGAUGCUAAGCGCCGUGCAGGAUCCAAAAGCUGGUCGGUGCACUUCCUUAGGGUGUAAGCCACGACCGCCGUUGCUGCCGGUCUGCCGGGAUCAACCUUCUUGGUUGGGCCAUUUGGCUCGGCCAGGUCGGGAUGGCAGGUGGCCAGGUGUGUGCGCUUGCGUACAUAUCGGGUGUUAUAGCCGAUCCUUGGGCGGUACAUAAACUGUGCAGUUCGGUGGAGAUGUCGACGUGUUGGUAACGGCUUAUGUGCUAAAGUCUGCCGGCGUGGUCAACGUCUGGCUGCCUGUAGUCGAUGCAAAAUUCGGCCUGGCGGCGGCUUGUUCACGGUGUAGCGGACGGCGGCGUAAGCUAGCCAUCGGCCUUGUGUCGGUUCGUCGUCUAUAGUCUGUGGC
rnacentral:rRNA from 1 species